rnacentral:rRNA from 1 species
GAGUGAACGCUGGCGGCGUGCCUAACACAUGCAAGUCGAACGAUGAUAGAAGAGCUUGCUUUUCUUGAUUAGUGGCGCACGGGUGAGUAAUGCAUAGAUAAUGUGCCCCUUAGUUCGGGAUAGCCACUGGAAACGGUGAUUAAUACCGGAUACUCCUUCUUACUAUAAGGUAAGUCGGGAAAGUUUUUCGCUAAGGGGUCAGUCUAUGUCCUAUCAGCUAGUUGGUGAGGUAAUGGCUCACCAAGGCUAUGACAGGUAUCUGGUUUGAGAGGAUGAUCAGACACACUGGAACUGAGACACGGUCCAGACUCCUACGGGAGGCAGCAGUGAGGAAUAUUGCACAAUGGAGGAAACUCUGAUGCAGCAACGCCGCGUGGAGGAUGACGCAUUUCGGUGUGUAAACUCCUUUUAUUAGGGAAGAUAAUGACGGUACCUAAUGAAUAAGCACCGGCUAACUCCGUGCCAGCAGCCGCGGUAAUACGGAGGGUGCAAGCGUUACUCGGAAUCACUGGGCGUAAAGGGUGCGUAGGCUGGCUUUUAAGUCAGAUGUGAAAUCCAAUGGCUUAACCAUUGAACUGCAUUUGAAACUGAGAGCCUAGAGUUCAGAAGGGGCAGAUGGAAUUAGUGGUGUAGGGGUAAAAUCCGUAGAUAUCACUAGGAAUAUCAAAAGCGAAGGCGAUCUGCUGGGAUGAUACUGACGCUGAGGCACGAAAGCGUGGGGAGCAAACAGGAUUAGAUACCCUGGUAGUCCACGCCCUAAACGAUGAAUGCUAGUCGUCGGGAAGCUCGUCUUUUCGGUGACGCACUUAACAGAUUAAGCAUUCCGCCUGGGGAGUACGGUCGCAAGAUUAAAACUCAAAGGAAUAGACGGGGACCCGCACAAGUGGUGGAGCAUGUGGUUUAAUUCGAAGAUACACGAAGAACCUUACCUGGCCUUGACAUCCCAAGAACUUUCCAGAGAUGGAUUGGUGCUAGCUUGCUAGAACUUGGUGACAGGUGCUGCACGGCUGUCGUCAGCUCGUGUCGUGAGAUGUUGGGUUAAGUCCCGCAACGAGCGCAACCCUCGUCCUUAGUUGCUAACAGUUCGGCUGAGCACUCUAAGGAGACUGCCUCCGUAAGGAGGAGGAAGGUGAGGACGACGUCAAGUCAUCAUGGCCCUUACGGCCAGGGCUACACACGUGCUACAAUGGGGCGUACAGAGAGCUGCAAUACCGCGAGGUGGAGCCAAUCUCUUAAAGCGUCUCUCAGUUCGGAUUGUUCUCUGCAACUCGAGAACAUGAAGCUGGAAUCACUAGUAAUCGCAGAUCAGCUAUGCUGCGGUGAAUACGUUCCCGGGUC